CAGUAGCCACGGUAAUACGAGGGGAGCUAGCGUUGUUCGGAAUUACUGGGCGUAAAGCGCGCGUAGGCGGUGAGUUAAGUCUGCUGUGAAAUCCCCGGGCUCAACCUGGGAAUGGCAGUGGAUACUGGCUCGCUAGAGUGUGUCAGAGGAUGGUGGAAUUCCCGGUGUAGCGGUGAAAUGCGUAGAGAUCGGGAGGAACAUCAGUGGCGAAGGCGGCCAUCUGGGACAACACUGACGCUGAGGCACGAAAGCGUGGGGAGCAAACAGGAUUAGAUACCCCAGUAGUCCCUGUCUCUUAUAC
rnacentral:rRNA from 1 species